rnacentral:rRNA from 1 species
UACGGAGGGUGCAAGCGUUAUCCGGAUUCACUGGGUUUAAAGGGUGCGUAGGCGGAUUGGUAAGUCCGUGGUGAAAUCCCCGAGCUUAACUUGGGAACUGCCGUGGAUACUAUCAGUCUUGAAUAUCGUGGAGGUAAGCGGAAUAUGUCAUGUAGCGGUGAAAUGCUUAGAUAUGACAUAGAACACCAAUUGCGUAGGCAGCUUACUACUCGAUCAUUGAUGCUGAGGCACGAAAGCGUGGGGAGCAAACAGG